AGUUGCCAUGGCUGCGACAUCUGUCUCCCCAUUGAUCGCCAGUGUUGAUUCGGCUGACAUGGCUGGCUAGGCAGGUGUGCUCUUCCUCUCUCACUGCUCCAUGUACAUCCCUCCAAAAGUUGAAGAAGAUGACCAUCCAGGAAUAGAGGAGGGUCUUCAGUCAAGGGUAUAUGAGUAGCUGCGCUCCUCUGCUAGAAUCUCCAAACAAGUUUUCUUUUAUUUCUAAAAGUUAAGUUAACCUGGACUGCCUCUCAGAUACUGGUUCACCAACCUGGCAAUAGACACCA
rnacentral:snRNA from 1 species